CCUACGGGAGGCAGCAGUAGGGAAUAUUGGGCAAUGGGCGAGAGCCUGACCCAGCCAUGCCGCGUGCCGGAUGAAGGCCUUCUGGGUUGUAAACGGCUUUUCUCAGGGAAGAAAAAGGGGAUGCGUCCUAAACUGACGGUACCUGAGGAAUAAGCACCGGCUAACUCCGUGCCAGCAGCCGCGGUAAUACGGAGGGUGCAAGCGUUGUCCGGAUUUAUUGGGUUUAAAGGGUGCGUAGGUGGCCCGUUAAGUCCGGGGUGAAAGCCCACAGCUCAACUGUGGAACUGCCCUGGAUACUGGCGGGCUUGAGUCCAGACGAGGUUGGCGGAAUGGAAGAUGUAGCGGUGAAAUGCAUAGAUAUCUUCCAGAACCCCGAUUGCGUAGGCAGCCGACUAGGCUGGUACUGACACUGAGGCACGAAAGCGUGGGGAGCGAACAGGAUUAGAUACCCUGGUAGUCCACGCCGUAAACGAUGGAUACUCGCUGGUGGCGAUAGACAGUCACUGGCUUAGCGAAAGCGGUAAGUAUCCCACCUGGGGAGUACGCUCGCAAGAGUGAAACUCAAAUGAAUUGACGG
rnacentral:rRNA from 1 species